rnacentral:rRNA from 1 species
UGGGGAAUAUUGCACAAUGGGGGAAACCCUGAUGCAGCGACGCCGCGUGAACGAAGAAGGUACUCGUAUCGUAAAGUUCUGUCCUAUGGGAAGAUAAUGACAGUAUCAUAGAAGAAAGCUCCGGCUAAAUACGUGCCAGCAGCCGCGGUAAUACGUAUGGAGCGAGCGUCGUUCGGUAUUAUUGGGCGAAAAGGGUACGCAGGCGGUUUAAUAAGUCGAAUGUUAAAGAUCGGGGCUCAACCCCGCAAAGCAUUGGAAACUGAUAAACUUGAGUAGUGGAGAGGAAAGUGGAAUUCCUAGUGUAGUGGUGAAGUACGUAGAUAUUAGGAGGAAUACCAGUAGCGAAGUCGACUUUCUGGACACAAACUGACGCUGAGGUACGAAAGCGUGGGGAGCAAACAGG